AUCGUAGCCCUAGAAUGAAAAGUCUAGUUCAUGAUAAAAUGGAAAUAAACCCUAACAACUGUCUUAAACAUAAUGAUAGAGUUGAGAAAUAGAACCAAUUUAGAUAAUUAAAUCCUUGCGUCUCCUUCUCUUGAUUGAAUCAUGGUACUUUUGUCCCUUUUCUCCCUUGGUUUUCCAUCCUUUCUAUCGCCAAAAUCUUUAUGUCGAAAGUUCCCCUUAUCCCAGGUUUCUUUUCCUUUCAUACUGCUGAAUAUUGGCUCAAUUACGUGGCACAAUAUCGAUCUCGAUCCUAGCACCAUGGCACCAAGUUUCUACCAAAAUUUUCGGACCAAGGCCGUGGCAUUAAGCCACAGUGCUAGAAGUGUCUCUUGCAUAUUUUGAUCUCUUUUUUUAUGCCCAAUUACGCACUCGUAUCAUCAUAUAUCCUGAAUUUGCCUACAACUGCAAAUAGCGCACAAAACACAACAAAAGCUGCAAAAUUGCUCAUAUACUAACAAAUUAUCAAGUCUUAACCAUUCAAUAAGUUGGUAUAAAACCAACUUAUCAAUAAUUGAGUGUCAAUUGCCGACAUCGUCCUCGUUGAUGGUGACGAUCCACUGAGCACAGUAGCAUUAUCAUCAGAAACUAUUCUUUGGCUAAAAUUAUGUGAACAAACUAAUUCAAAUUUGAAGUAAUUUUUUUUCCUUUUUCUUUUUAUUCAAGGCUGCUACUUGAAUCUGGAGAAAGGGAUUAUUUCGAAAAUUAAUUUUACAUCGAAACCAAAGGAACCUUGAUUAUAGAGAUGGUUUAUUUUAACUUGCUGCCCACAGUGUUUGACUUGAAACGUACAUGCAACACUAAAAAACUUUUGAUUACAUUACUUUUCACUUGAGUUGGCUUGAGUUUAGCUGCUUGAUUGCUAAUUGGGAACUUAAACAAUGGUGUGAUUAUAUAAUCAAUGUAAUUGAGCUUUAAUUCUAUCUACACUUCUCGAUUUUAAGUGAAUUACUAGGUCCUAUUAUUUCGAGAUUAGGCCUUUGGAUAACCAACUCCCAUUUGCUAAUCAAUUAUGGCCUGGAUAGGUGACUGUAGAUUUCAAUCAUUAAUGUUUGGAUUUUAUGAUAACUAUGGGGGUUUGAUAUUGAAUUAGGGAUCGUCUGUUGUAUAUGAUCGUGAUUUGUGGAUCUCAUAUGGCUUUGCAUUUAGGAUUUUGAAAAUCUAUAUUGACUUUAGGAUUCUUGAGUUAUACUACAGUUUCGUGUCCUUUGUCAUGUGACUAUAUGCAAUUUUUGGAAUACAAUGAAAUGAGAUUAAUGGAAAAUGAGAUAAAUGUUAAUUUUCACCUUUUAGUUUGACCUAGGUUGAUGCAAGAUGAUUGUGUAGGAUAGGUAGAUUAUUUUUCUAGGGACAUAAUUUUAGCCACAAAUGUCUUCUUGACAUAUAUACCAUACAUUUUUGAAGCCUGUGACUAGACAAUCUAAUCCAAUACCAUUAUGCCGUAUUGGUCUUUGAAAAUUCCAUUUAUUUCAGGGUUAUUUUGCAAGUUUUAUUAUUUUUCUAUUUUUCCUAUUGCUUUUAAGAUUUCUAUCUUUUUAAUUAGAUAUUAGAUUUAAGUGUCAUAUGUUUUAUUUUCGUUAUUCCAUUAUUAGAAUUUUAUUACAUAAUUAUAAUUUGGGUUAGCCUAUUUUGAUAAAUUCGUGUUAUUUAGGGUUAAUAUAAAGGGUCAUAAAACCUAUUUUUGUCAUUCAAACUUUCAUUAAUAAUAUCCAGAUUUACAGAAACUUAUGUUUCUCUAUCUUUUCUAUCUUUAUGUUUCCUUUUCAUCGUUGAUGACUCAAUGUUAAUUGGUUUACGUGUGCUUGCAAUUAUAGAAGGGUUUUGGAGAGACAAUAAAAAGGCUCUUCAUGAACUUCUACAUAAAUGUUAAUUUCUAACUAUCAGUUGAAUUUACUAUAGAUGAAAUGCUGAUUUUUCAUUAAAUUUUUUCAAUUAUGUAAAUUUAGCUAUGGUUUGUUAUAGUACUAUAAACUAUUCUUUAUGGUCUCUCAAACAUACAUGAUGUUCCAGGAAAUGCUCAAGUGAGGGAUUGAAGCUAAUAAUUUAGCCUUAUUAUCCAUAUUCUACGAGCUUUUGGCAAGGGGUAGAGUGUGAGCGACUGACGAGGUUUUGGAAAAGAUUGAAAAGCCAGAUGUUAGUCAGUAUUAUGGAUUGACAAAGGGGCUUUUAAGGUUGACAAUGGCAAGGAAGCAACACAAAUAUUCAUAGACAUAAUAAAUAGAAGAAAGUAAUUGACCCACCUGUGAACUUUGAGACCAUGCUUGCAGCGACAUAAUUAGAAGUAGAGAUGGCUAACGGGUUAGGUGGCAUGGUACAAGCACAUGUUUGUAGAGUAUAUAGCACAACACGGCAUGUAUGCAGGCUGAAUUGGGUUGGGCUGAGAAUUUUAGACACAUGGCCUUAAAAGCACAACACAAUUAAAGAUGAGUUAAAGCACAACACAUGAAAAAGACCCGCAAUAAAUAAGUUUUACUAGUGGGUUAGCAUGUGGCCUAUGAGCCAUCAAUAGCACAUGAUCCGAAGUAUUAAAAUAAAACUUGAAAGUAAACUUAACAUUUUAUGAUUUUAUAAAUAAUUUGAAAUAAAAUCUUUUAAUGUAUUUUAUGAGUGUAAGUUUUUAAAAUUCAUUUAAUUCUUUUUUUUAAAUUCAUUUAAUUCUUAGUUUUAGAUAUAAAACUCGAAAUUAUUUUCUGUAGGGUUGACAAUGAGAUGGGAUGAGUUCAGAAUUCUCUUGUUUUUCUCUUAAGUUUCUCUGCUUCCAAACAUUAUUGAUUUUCAACUCAACGAAAUCAGAACGCGAAACAACAGCAGCGAAAUCAGGACACCACUGCAAUGAACCCACCAGAAGCAGCAACGAAUCCACGCAACUCGAACCAACACCCAUGACUAGCAGCAAAUCAUCACCAACUCCACCUCAACUCAAGUGAGCUUUAUUUUCUUUUUCCCUUUUUGUAGAAAUUCUGAGAUUGUUUAGUCAAAAUGUUGCUAGUUGACAAACAAUUGGUUGUUGAGAUUUGGUGGAUAAUUGAUUAUGGUGUGGAAGAAGCUUCCAUGUACAAAUAAAGAUGCCAUAUGCAUCCGUCACCAAUUAAAAAAACAAAAUAUAGGACAAUUGAAUUACAAUCACUCCUCUUUGAAGACUUUUGGUUUUGGUUAUUAAGUUAUUAUAUGUUGUGUUACAUUACUGUAUUGUGUUACAUGCUUUAAUUUUUAUAAUUAAAUUAAUUUUUUAUUAUUUUUAUAUGACAUUAACAGUAGCUAUCCUAUUAUAUAUUAGAUAAUCCUUUUUUAUUUGCAUUUUUUUACUUUAUUAAAAAUAAUGACUAGAAGCCCAAGCCUGACCUAGGUCCAUUUAGGCUCAGCCCGUCUAAGAUUGGACGGACUUUUAAAGGGCAUGGGCUUGUUAACAACAACAUGUGUUUGGGCUUGGGCUUCAAAAAGCCCGGCCCAAGCCCAUAAUUUGCCAACCCUACUUUUUAGCCUCCACACAAUAAAUCUUAACAUUAAUGUGUAGUAGAAGCAAAUAGGCAAUUAAAAAAUGUUAGUAUAAAAUUGUAUUCAAACAUGCAUGUAGUCAAAAUAAAACUAUGAUUUGAUUAUUCUAUUUUGUAUUUAUUCAAGAUUUUUGUUAUAUUGAAUUAUGAUGAUCUUUAAAAGAAAAAAGUUAAAAUUUAUUUAUUUACAUUUGGGAUUGUUCAUGACAAUGGGAUAGGAAUGGAUAUUUAACGAGAUGGGAGUAGGAUAAAUCUUCGUCGCAAAUUUUUUUUUUGUUUUUAUUAUUCCAAAUCAUAACUACUCUGAAUCUGUACAUGAUUCUAUUUAUAUACAUGAGUGGUGAUUUAACUAAUUCUCAAACUAAUUACAAUUGCUAAUCAGCUGAUUAUAACUAACUAAAACUAAUUUUACAAGCACAAGAAAUACUAUAACAAACUUCACUAAUCUUCACGUGUGCAAGAGACUAUAUAAACACCAGGCUCCAGCUGGCAAGCCAUGUCAUCAACUUGUAACAGUAAGUUGCAGGUGUUGCAAUCCUCUACUUCACUGACCACUCUGCUCACAUGAGCUUCCUUAACAUCCCCUCUCAAGCUCAAGGGUCUGCUAAUCACAUUGAGCUUGGAACGAAAAUAACUAAACUGAGGAAAUGACAGGGGCUUAGUAAGGACAUUUGCAACUUGCUCUUCAGUGAGAAUGUACCUCACUUCCAAUUCUUUGUUAAGAACCUUGUCUCUAAUAUAAUGAACAUCUAGCUCUAUGUGUUUUGAUUUUGAAUGAAAAACUGGAUUUCUAGCUAGAUCUCCAUCACUCUGGUUAUCACACCACAGAACAAAAGUUGGUAAUUUUGUGAUGUUGAGCUAAGAGAAUAACGAUUGCAGCCAAGAGAGUUCAGAACUGGCUACUAACAAGGCUCUGUAUUCACUAUCAGUAUUAGAUUUUGCUACAAUGGCUUGCUUUUUCGAAGACUCAGGAAACCAAAUAUAUCAAGGAUCUGCUGUCUAAAGCCUCAAUGCAAGACUGCAAAGGAACUGACACUCCUUUCAACACAGGCUACAAGUUGGAAAGAUUAACAAAAGGUUCAUUGGGUGCAGAAUUUGAGAAUCCAACCCUUUAUAGAAGUAUUGUUAGAGGGUUGCAAUAUUUAAUCCUAACUAGACAAGAUAUUGCAUAUUCAGUGCAUAAGUUUAGUCAGUACUUCAGUGCUCCUACACUUCAAGUGAUGUUUCCAGGUUGAACACUAGACUAAUGAUUCCUUCACUAAGUGAAGAGAGCAGCCAUCCAAGCAGCACCUGAUCUUGAGAUCUCCAUGUUAUGAAUUCUGGAUUCUCCACAGAUCUGAGUUCAUCAUCAACUCUUUGAGCUAUAUGAGAUGGAGGUGGAGUAACUAAAUCAUCAAUAAACUUUUCGAGCCUAUUUCCACGAAUUGAAGCUAGAACUUGAGAUCGCCAUAUAAGAUAAUUGGAUUGAUCAAGCUUGACUGGUGUGUUAAAGGUAAAUGAACCAGUUGAUGAAUUUGCAGCAGGAUUCUGAGUUAGACGUGAGGAAGAAAAAGUAGACGACAUUAUUGGCUCUGAUACCAAGUUGAAAAUCAAUAAUGUUUGGAAGCAGAGAAGCUUAAGAGAAAAACAAGAGAAUUCUGAAACUCUAUUUUGUUUUUAUUAUUCCAAAUCAUAACUACUCUGAAUCUAUACAUGAUUCUAUUUAUAUACAUGAGUAGUGAUUUAACUAAUUCUCAAACUAAUUACAAUUGCUAAUCAGCUGAUUAUAACUAACUAAAACUAAUUUUACAAGCACAAGAAAUACUAUAACAAACUUCACUAAUCUUCAUGUGUGGAAUAGACUAUAUAACCACCAGGCUCCAGUUGGCAAGCCAUGUCAUCAACUUGUAACAGUAAGUUGCAGGUGUUGCAAUCUUCUGCUUCACUGACCACUCUGCUCACAUGAGCUUCCUUAACACGUUGCCACUGCUUCGCGUCCUGAGUUCGUUGUUGCUACUUCGCUUGUUGUGUCGCUCUGCUGGAUUCGCUCGCUGGUGGUGCUGGCUACUAGAUCGGCGAUGGCUACACUUGUUGGGUGGGUGAAAUAUAAUUAUGUGAUGGCCAUAAUUGUUGGGUGGUGUCGAAAACAUUUGGCUUUUGCUUACUUGCUCAGUUGAUUUGUUUAAUUUAGGGUUUGUUUUUCUUGUGACUUGAUUUUUGAAAUUUAUUUUUUUAAUUUGAUUUUGAUUUUUUUAUUUUUAAAUUAAAGCUCAGGCUUAAGCUCAGACUUUGUGUAAAAGCCCAUGACCAUACCCAUUGGUUGCUAGCUUCAAUUUUUUGAGCCCAUAUCCAGGAUUUCAUGUAGAGGGCAGGGUUUAAAGCCCUUAGGUUUGGGAUGGGCCGGCCUAGACUUUUUUGCCAACCCUAUAAAAAAAUGAGAAUCUUGUGGAUGAACUGCUAGUAAAGGCAUAGUGGGCAGGUCUUAGGUUGCUGCUUGGGAACUUUUGUGGCAGCAUGAAUUUUUUUAUGGUGAGAGCAAGGGACAUCAACAUAAUGGUGCAACCUUAAUUUAAGAAAGUGACCGAGUUCUGAAUGGUUACUAAUGCUACAAAUUAUUAAUUCUAGUUGUGGAUUUUGGUUGACACUUCAUUUUCUAAUUAUAUUACUUUUAUUAUUUAAUUUUGGCCUUUAGGUUUCAACUUUGAACAUUACUUAAGUUAAAAUUAUAAAAUAAUUAAAAAUCUAGAAUAGUUUAAAAUCAUAUUAUUAAUGGGAUAUAUAGGAUGGGAUGACAUUUUAUAGUUGGUCCUCCUCUCAUUCUAUAAAUAAAGGCAGGACUUAUUUUUUUUCAUCGUUCCAUCCUACUUUAAUUUGGAAUGUAAAAAAAGUUUCAAUCCCAUCCCAAACGGAGCGCGAUUAUGAAGGAUCCCAUCUUAACGAAAAAAAUUGACAUCCUUAAUUUUAUGUUUAGAAAGGAUCUCGUCCCAAUAGGAAAAAUUACCAUCCUUGGUUUUAUGUUUAUAAUUUAUUAAAUGAAUAGAUGAUAUCAUGAUUUUAUAAAUGUAUGCAUUAAUAUUAUUAUAGACUGUGAUCUAUGGAUAUAUGUAAGUUCAAGUUAAUAAUUAAGUUAACCCUGAAGAAAAAAUUAUUAUUGUUGUUGUAGUCAUUGUUAUUAAGUAUGAAAAAGGAAACCUAAUAACGUAAGUUCUAACUUAGCCAUUAGUAUUACAUUCUUUUGUUAUUAUUAGUUCAUUAUUAUUGAAUAUGGUCUUGAGUUUUGAACUUUUGAUUUUAUUGAAUUUGACUACACGUAUGUGAACCCAAAAAAAUUAUAUGCGAUUGAAAAUAGCAUGCCAACAACUUGACAUGGUCUCUUAAAAAAAGAAAAAAAUAAAAAAAAAACUUGUUACGCUUUUUUCUUAAGCACGGCCCAUGGUACGGCUCGGCACACACGCGUGGGCUUGGCACGUAUGCCAAGCCCAGAUGUGUUGUGCCAGGCUUAAGCAAAAAAAAAAAAAAAAUAGAGAGAGACAUGGCACGAAGUACAUUGUGGGCUGUGCCUUGCAUGGGCCUUCCUUUGACAGCUGGCACGGCCUAUUGGUCAUCUCUAACCAGAAACUACAAUGUGGUGAGAGUGAUGAAUAGAAGAGCUUAGGUACCUAGAUUUGAGUACAAAAACUUUUUGGAUUUUAUUUCAAUAAAGAUUGUGUAGUUAUGUUCGAGGAAAUGGCAAAGAAAUUAUUGGAGGUUGGAUUGGUUUGAUUUGGCUAAUAUAUUAUUGGUAUGUAGAUAAAAUGGCUACUAGAGGGAGAAUAAAAAGUUAAAGGAUUGAACCAUGAGAUGAGUUUCUUUACCGAUGUAUCACACCAUUCAUACUUAUUUUUGUUCAUGUUGUUAGGCAUCAGUAAGUAGCUUUUAAAUAUGACCACUUUUACCUAUAUUGCAAAGAACUUGCGAGAUAAAUGCAAAUUGGUAGACUUGUAUUGCCAGAUAUCUUUCGGGAUGAACCAUCUCAAUCUAUUGCCUCUGAUGUAAUUUCGCAGUUUGUGACAUAAAACUAUCCACGCUCUUAAAACUACAUGUGAUUAUAAGUUGUCAAAAUAUUUCAUCAAUGUGAUCCAAAUAUUUAUACUAUUGAGACUUUUGUAUCUGUGUCAACCCUUAAUGGGAGAGGGCAAAGCAUAUCCAGAAUAAGGAACCAAAACAAUACAAAUGGUUUGCACAAUUUUUCAAAAAUUCCUUAUCAGAAACUUUGAAUAUACUUCCAAAUGAUUCCUGAGAUUCAGUUGUGACUAUAGGAAAAAUGUUAAUCAGAGUCAUUGUUUGGGGUAAAAAGUGUGACGAUCAGGUACCCAUGGGCAGAAAGAUGCUCUCUUCAACCAAAAGCAACUAAUCAUGGCAGCUCAUUCACAGGAGCCAUCUUCUGGUUGCCUAAAUACUUUACGUGGUUGGGGUUAUGCGACGAGAGACUCUGGUCGAGUUGGAUCAAAGUCUUGGCCAACGACAGUUAUCAGGACAUGGGUUUUCCCCUGAGAGUCCAAGUAUGAGAUCCACUCAAAGGCAGUUGCGUCCCUACUCACCCACGAUGGUGUAAUUGACCCAGUAAUGAUUGUGGAGAGAGGGCCGAAUAUUCUGAAUAGGUAUAAAUGACAUAGAGUCGAAGGUUAAAGGGUUAGACAAAAUUUUCUUUGACUUCACACAUUAUCUAUCAUUGAUCUAUUUCUGGAUUCUUUUUUUUUCUAAUCUUCUUGAAAAUUAUGUUUUCUAAUUUUGAACUAAUAUAACUAAGCCACAAGUUAGUGGUACAAGUUUUUCUAGAAGGAACCUGAUUACUAACUUGAGUGUCAGAGGGUUAUCGUUGGAAAAACAUCUGGCGCCCUCUAAUGGAGUGUUGUCUACUCAAAGUCAAGGUUGUUUGUUAGUGUACAUAUAGUUGAAGUGCAGAGAUAUUCCCUGGAAAUUACAAAUCCAAGUGUUGAUGUGAUCACCUGGUCGCUAACUAGCUCGACUAGAUUCCAGCAUCAACAUUUUUGGUGCCGUCUGUAGGAAGCAAACGAAAAGCCCCCACCAAUGGAUUAAAUUGACAAAAAGGUACGAAAAAUGAGACUAUGAGGAAACAGAGCGCAUGAAAUUGAUUACGGAGCAAAUGAAGUGAAGGAGAGAGGGCAAUACACGAACGAAUAGAGCGAAUACAGAAACAAAUUGAAACUCACAAGUGUGUUGCAUAAGUUAAGCGAAUGACAAGUUAGGCUUGAAGGGAGAGCUCCAGCAGAGAAUCAAGGUACCUUCGAACCCAGUACUAGGGUAGCUCAGGAUGAACAUAAUCAGGAGGAUGGCAUUCAACUUCGUGGUGAGUAGAGUCUUAGAACGAAGAGUCAGUUCUGUAGUAAUCAUAAUUAGACAAAUAAUAAAAGAGAAUUCUAAAAGGAGGGUACUUAGACAACACUUAUGCGACAUCGAACAGGAACGCGAUCAGUCACUGCACGAAACCCUGGUCGCGCUAUGGAGCUUAAGGGAAAGGUAUGGAGGCUGGCUUAGGUUAUAGAUGAGAUGCAAGGUGAGGGUAAGGCACCGAGUUGGAGAAUUAUACUGGAUAGUGAGUCUUGUCUUUCACCCGAGAUCAUGAGCAUUGUGAUCCCAUAAGACUUUUGAUUCCUAGAUCUCAAAUACACCCAAAAAAUGACUUUUUGGUGCACAUCGAACGUUUUAAUAAUAUGAUAGGGUGUAGGGUUUGAUGCAAGCCUAGAGGUGUAGAAUAUUUCCACUAACCUUGGAAGGACAAGCGUGAGAAUGGUACCAAAAAAUGCCCAGAGGAAGUAUAAGAAGUUUCGAGUAAAUGUGCCAGGAAUUUGGAGAGCAGUUUUGAGGUUGACACAAUGGAGCUGAUUAGGAUCAAGCGGGGUGAAAAUGAGCCCGUCAUAGAAUUCUUGAAGAGAUAAGACCACGCAGUCCUCGACCUUGGAGCCUUUAACUAUCCUCAAACAUUGAAGAAGCUGAAAGAGAGGGCGAAUAUGGUGACUGUGGUACAACUUGAGAAGACCAAUCGUAAAAUCAUACUCUAUCGCGUACGAUAGGCGAAGAGAGAUAUCAAAAUUAAGGAUGAAAAGACGAUGAUGAUCAGAAGUGAGCAACUUAAAGAUUUAAGAUGGAAGGAGAAAAAGAUCUAGAAAAGAGGCGGGCCCGUUAAGCGAAGUGACAGACCAUCUCCAAAUAGAAAAGCAAAUGGUCGAGCACUCAUUAGCAAACCCAUUAAAUGCCACCUUAAUUCCAAUGCAGGAGAGUCCCCUCUGCUCAUUCACCGAACAGAGACCACUGAAGAGAUCACAACUAGCCAUAUAACCAUCCUCAUUGCGAUGCCCUAACAAAUCACCAUAUACAAAACACCAAAGUAAACAUAUCAAACCCUCAGCGUCUGUCACCACUCGUAAUAAUUUUGCUAAGGACAAAACUACGCAGAUAAUCGACCAGAGCUUGGCUUACAAGCGAUAUACCCCUUGAAAGUGCCUCUGAAUGAGCUAUACCACAUAAUAAAUAAUAGAGGUCUACUAUAUCCCUCAACCUUAUUAGCAAAAGUGGCCAACAAAUGGGAGAAAAGUAGAUUUUAUGAGUUCCACAACAUUCAUGGUCACACCAUAGCUUAGUGUCGUGACCUUAGAAAUCAAGUUGAAGACUUGGUAAGGAAUCGCUACCUAGACGACCUCAUUGAUGGUGCCCAUUAAUAACUCUAUGAAAUGAGAGUUAUCAUGACACUUUUGGACUCAAACCAAUAUUGCUUAGAGAGUAAAUGAUGUGUUUAUAUUGCAUUUUAGUUACAUUCAACAUAAACAUGUAUUCAAGUUCAAUUUUAAUAAAUUAAUUUAUUUUAGAUCAUUUUGUGUUCAGAUUAUGUGCAUGAUUGUAGGGGACUAAAAAAGCUCAAGUUUUAUGGAUAGAAUGAUGCUACAACAGACUUGCAGAGAUGACAAAAGAACUUAGCUGCAGAGGAAUUAAAACAAGUCUGAAACAGUGAAGAUGCUGCAGCAAUCUUGUAGCAACGACAUAUUAGAUUUCAAGCGCGAUAAAUGAAAGAUUGUGAUCCAAGGUUUCCAAAAAUGGAAGAUACGCACCACACACUUUUGGUUGCCCUAAUUUCAAGUUAUAAAAGGAGCAUGCAUGAAAAGAAAAAGGGAGAGCCGUCACUCAAGAAAAAAAACAGAGAAAAACAAAAAGAAAAUAGAGAAUAAGAGAGACUUGAGGGCGGCAACAGAGGAUUCAAGGAGAAAAUGGAAAAGAAAUCACCAAGACUAAGUGAAACUUAACUCUUCUUCUUAUUUUCUUGUUUUUAUUUAUUUAUGGAAAUGUACUUAAUGGUUAAAACAAUUUUUUUUAUUAUUGUAUUGCAAAUCAUGAACUAAAUUUUGUUAUGAUCGAGUGAUAAACAAGUUUAAUGAUUAUUUGACUGAUAUAUGUCUAUUGCAUGCUAUAACAUUUUUCUUAAUUUUACUAAUUGCAAUUUCCUAUUUCUGCUGACCACCCAUUUAGUGGAUACUAGCUUAGAAAUAGCAUAAAAAAAGUCUGAUUUAGCAGAACAAAUUAAGACAAUACUUGAUUUGAGAUUGGGUUUCCUAAGUUGAGUUAAUCUCAAUUUGAAUAGGGUCAUGUUUGAUCUAAAAUUAGUGAACUAGACAAAAGAAUUUACCUUGUAGGACAAUUGGAACCUAGAAUGCCUUGACAUCUCUAUUAGCCCAAGUAACUUCAUUAACAGAUAUGGUGAAAAUUAUGACCACUGCUCCAACAAUUAGCAACCAAAUUGCUGACUUAUUUUGUGUUUAUUGUGGAGAAAUGCAUAUAUUUGACAAUUGUCCUAGAAAUCUAGCUUUGAUCAACUAUGUGGGCAAGUUUAACAAGUAAAAUAAGAAUAAUUCUUAUUCAAACACUUAUAACCCUGGAUGAAGACAACACCCAAACUUCUUAUAGAGCAAUCAAAAACAACAUGCUGCAGUAUCUAGUGGACAAAACAAGCCUGCCCAAUCAGCUGGAUUUCACCAGCAAAAUCAAGGACAAAGAAACACCAGCAAUGAUUAACUUAGUUCUCUCGAAGCUUUGAUUAAAGAUUAUAUUGUGAAGAAUGAAACAAUGGUCCAAAGUCAAGCUGUAUCCUUAAGAAAUCUAGAAAAUCAUAUUGGACAACUUGCUAUAGCAUUAAGCAACAGACCUCAUGGUAGUUUACCCAGUAACACAGAGGAUCCCAGAAGAAAAGGAAAAGAGCAUUGCAAAGUGAUUAACUUAAGAUCUGGAAAGGUUCAGGAAGUGCUUGAGCUUAACUGGGAUAUGCAAUCUCUAAUUUGCAUAAGGGUGGUGAAAGAAUCAGAUUUGGUGUUUGAUUCAAGGUGGAUAAAUGUAGAGUUAAUGAAUAUAAAUACAAACCAGAGCAAACGUCAGCGUAUUAAGUAAUUGGUUAAUUCAGUUAUGAAGUCACAUAAGGGGUAACGUGACUGGGAUAUGCAAUCUUUACUUUGCAUAAGGGUGGUGAAAGAAUCAGAUUUAGUGUUUGAUUCAAGGUGGAGAAAUGUAAAGUUAAUGAAUAUAAAUACAAACCAGAGCAAACGUCAACGUAUUAAGUAAUUGAUUAAUUCAGUUAUAAAGUCACAUAAGGGGUAACGGGAAACGGCAUUAAGGCUUGCGUUUUGGUCAUAACUGAUUCAAGAGUUGCUCAUGCCAAGUCAUGUGGUUAAGUAAGUGCCUCCAAGUUCGUUUUAACAGUCUUGGACACGUGGAAGAAAGUUGUGCUAUCUGGGUUCAUUGUUUAUUACUCUGCUGCAAUAUAUUACUGGUUCUCCAUCUCAUUCUAUAACUGAUUCAAGAGUAUUUGAGAAAGACUUUAGAAAGAAGGAAAGUUAUUUCUUGAGCUCUGAAAUCUCAACUCUGUGUACUUAUAAUUUCCUCAUUAAAUCAAUCAAUAAACAAGUUCUGAUGGUUUCACUCGUGGAUGUAAUUCUUGUAAAAGACUGAACCACGUUAUCUCUUAUGUUCUCUAUGAUUUUGCUUCUGAUUCAUCUUUUCUAUUGUUCUGAUUUCUAUUCUUGAAUGGUUGAGUCUAUUUAGAGAAUAUUGAUUUGAUUUGGUUUAAUUUUGUGCUUGUGUGCAACUUGUAUUGAUCUUAAUCAAAGAUCUUGGGCAGAGUUUUAAUUAUCAAUCAAAGCUCUACAUAAAAGACAUCAAAUUUGAUAGAGAAGAGGCCUUGAAGAGCAUAGUCAGGUGACCUAGAACCACAGAAAUUCAUUGUUUCAUUACAAACGUAAUCAUCUUGAAAUGAUUUAUGGACAUGGCCAAGCAAGUGAUUUUGCAUGAGGAUUUAAAAAUCUCUGCAAUUUAAAUAUACUCACUAAGUUCCAAUUAUCCUUUUCACAUUUGAUUGCAAUUCAUCUCUAGCAAGCAUUCUUGCCAUGCCAAAAUGUGAUAUUUUAGGGUUUAUUUCUCUAUAUAAGAGAAUAUUACAUGCCUUGAGAUUUUUGUGAAUAACUCUUAAUUUAGAUAGUGGUGAAAAUAUAGAAGUCCUUGAGCAAUUCCUUUAAGGGAAAUUAUCAGCCAUAUAUCCUUAAAUGACACCAGUAUCAAACGUGCUACAACACUUUUCGCUUAUAUCACUCGUACACCCUAAGUUGACAAAAGAGUUCUGGUGUCCACCUUUCCGUUUACUACCGUUAAGAACUUAACAGAAUUUGAGCAAAAUGACUAUUUUACCCUUUAAACUCAAAAUGAGGUAAAAAAAUAAAUUUAUCUUGAAAAUUAAUGUAAAUUUUCAAUACACAAUUUUUUUUUUUAUUAACAAUACAUUUUUUAUUAAAAAAAUAUGAAUUAUUAAUAGUACAUAUUAUUAACAAUUAUCCAUAAAAAAUAUUCAUCUUAUACCAUAAAAAUUAUUAACAACAUAUUAUUUACAAUUAUACAUAUUAUACCAUAAAAAAUUCAAAUUGCGCUUGGAGGAGUAGAUCUUCAAUAAUUUAGGUUAAAUUUUGGAGGAGUAAAUUCGGUUGUAAAGUAGUUUUUUUUUUUUAGCAAUUAUUAACAAUUAUCCGAUAAAUGCGAUGACAUGUCAUUUUUAUCAAAAUAUAUCAUAUGACAUGUCGUUUUUUACUAGGUAAAUGGGAUGACAUGUCGUUUUUUUAAAAAGACUAUAUUACCCUUAUGAUGUCCGCGCUCGCAAACGGCAGUUAACGGAUUGGUGGACGGCAGAAGUGUUUUGUCAACUUAGGGUAUACGAGUGAUACACUUGAAAAGUGCUGUAGCACGUUUGAUACUGGUGUCAUUUAAGGGUAUAUAACUGAUAAUUUCCCUUCCUUUAAUGAUUCUAACUUGUGUUUCCCAACAUAAAAGUCCUUUUUUGCUAGGAAUUGUUACAAUAUCAAACCCUUACAUGAGAAACAUUGUAAAGUACCAGAGAAUGCAUAUUUAUACAGGGUAAAAUUAUCAUUUUAUGCUCUAAGUCUCACUAACAUUUUUAUUUUUACGUGUUUGAAUCCUUUAAGCUUUUAUUAUGUGUGUUUUAUUAUAAUUUAAAUAUUUUAUUUAUUUUAGAGAUAUUUUAGUCAUUUCACGACCAAAGAGAAUAAAUAGAUAAUGAAAAAAUUACGAUACAAACCUUAUCACACUGUUACACACCUAUUAUGAAAACACACUUAAAACCUGUACACAAAAUCAUUUACAAUAUUUACAAAGAAAAUUAACUCCAAACAUCUAUAAUUGUAAAUGAUACAAGUUAGUUAUAGCUGAGUUUUCUAUAAUUCUCAUAGAUAGAAAAGCCAGCUGUCUGGGAGAAGGUAAAUUAAAAGAGUUGAUAACCAAACGGUUAAUAAAGUGCCUAAUUCAUGCUAUUAGUUAGGCCACUUGGAAGAUUAGCUAUAGCUUAAUCUUCACAAUUACAAAUGGUAUAAAUAGUGUAGUACAAAUUCAUUUCUUUUUAAUAAGAAAAGAAAAGUCCAGCUCAAUGUCUCUCAGAUUUUGUACUUGUUCUAACAAAGAAACACUCUAGUUCUAAGGAAAAUAUCAAAACAUUUGAUUCCUUUCUAACUGAGAACAUAGAGUAAGGCUCAUAUGGCUAUCGAGCAUCUACCACUGAAAGUGUUAAGCAGUUUCCUAAAGAGGCUUCAGCAUUAAUAUUUGCUAGCAGAACUGACCUUUCCACAAUUUGCACAUAUGAGAAAGCAGGCUGAUGUGGGGAAGGCAAAUUAACAAUCUCGUCUUUUAGCAUUGCGACAACUUCCAACAUGGUUGGUCUAUCUGUUGCAUUCUCUUGAACACAUAAAAGGGCCACCUUAAUGUAUCUCGUCACCAUCGAAUACAGUGCUUCAUUUUGCAUUGUCGGAUCCAGCAACUUCCAGGCUUUGUCAUCCUUCCACAAAUUCCAAGCCUGAAGUAGAAAAAAAAAAUUCAAAAUGCUAAAUGAAUAAGUCAGCCAUCAUUUUAGUUCUGCGUAUAGGAAAUUCUUAACAUUUCCAAUUCAAUAAUCAAACUUUAUUCCUUCACAGUUAUUGCUAGAUUCAUUGUAAUAUGCUGAAAUAAAUGAGAAAUAUUCUCACUUACAUGGCCAAGAAGGGUAAGGGAAUCAGUAUUAUAAAAGCGUGUAUUCUUCUUGCUACUCAGUAUUUCCAACAGUAACACUCCAAAGCUAAACACAUCAGAUUUGAUAGAGAAUAGGCCGUGCAAAGCGUACUCAGGCGACAUAUAACCACUGAAAUUCAUUGUUUCAUCAAAUAUUCAACAAUGAAAGCAAAUGAUAUUUGCAUGAGGAUUUAAAUAGUCUUAGGAAUCAAAUUUACUUACUAAGUUCCAACUAUCCGAUUCGUAUUUGAUUGCAUCUCAUCACCACCAAACGUUCUUGCGAUGCCAAAAUCAGAUAUUUUUGGAUUCAUGUCACUAUCUAAGAGAACAUUACUUGCCUUGAGAUCUCUGUGAAUAACUCUUAAUCUUGAAUACUGGUGAAGAUAUAGAAGUCCUUGAGCAACUCCUUCAAUAAUUCGAACACGUGUUGUCCAAUCUAAUAGAUCUUUCCUAGCAGGAUCUGUUACAAUAUCAAACCUUGAGGAAUAUUUAUAAUAUGAAAUGGUACAGGUUAAAACAAUGGGUACAGAUAAAAGUCAGCGAGAAAUUGUAAAUAUUUAUUUCUUGAAUGAUGGAAAAAAAAUACCAAAAAUGAAAAAAUCCAAGCUUUUGUUAGCCAUGUACUCAUAUAUCGAAAUCUUUUCGCCCUGUUCAAUACAGCAGCCGAAGAGUCUGACAAGGUUCCUGUGUUGAAGUUUUGCUAUCAGCAUCAUCUCAUUUUUAAACUCUUCUAGUCCUUGUCCUGACUUACUAGAGAGCCUUUUAACUGCAACUUCCUCUCCAUUAAGUAGUUUACCCUGUUUCCAAUUGCAUAUUUCAACAUAACGCUCUAUACUCUGUUUAUUGUAGCAAAGUUCACAAGAAUGCUACCUUAUAAACAGGCCCAAAGCCACCUUCGCCUAGCUUAUUUUCUUCCGAGAAAUUAUCUGUAGCUGCUGAUAUGCUAGACAAGCUGAAAAAGAGAAACCAAGAUUCCUUACUCUUUCCCGUUCCAGCGCUAUCUCCCUCACAGAAUUCCUUUGCUCUGCUCAUAUUGCCCAUAUUUAUUUCAAAUAAUAACAUAUCUUGGCUUGCUUCGGUUCUUCUUUCUGUAUGCCGGUUAUAAAAAAUAUGAGCAUACGUUUUGUCAUGUGCACUCAUAGACUCAUGGGGACGCAAAACAUAAGACAGUGAUUUAAAAGGAUGUCACCUUUCUCUUUGAGCUUUUUCUUCCUUCGAUAAAAUAUGAGAAAAGCGGGAAGAAUUGCCACUGGAAGAGCAGCUAGUACCACUAUCCAUAGUGGCCUCUUCUUUCCUACACCCAAAAAUAUAUUUGCUAUCAAUUCCCAGUUUCAUUUUGCCGGAAAAACUGGGAAAUAGCCAAAUAACCCCUGCUUUGUUUUAGUUUCUCUCUGUAUUAUUGUGGCUCAUGUGGUUUAUAACAUUCAAUUCCUGAAACAAGUAGGCAAGUGUAAUUCGAUUUAAUCGGAAGGCACAGCUUUUAGAAGGAAGCCUUGCAAUAGCAAAGAAGCUGAAAGCUUUGCAAUAUCAACUUCAAAAAUGCAAUAAUGUACCUGGUUCUGAAGCUGGUACUCGUAAGUAGAUAGACUGUCCGGUAAGGUUUGCAAGUGUCUUUCUCAUAUCAAUCAGGUCCCCAAACCACAUUAAACAGCCACUGCCUCCUCUGGUUAGGUUGAAGUAGGCAUAAGCUCUACAGGUGCAGUUAUUCAAGCACUCAGCCCCACAUUCCUCAAGAUUCAUACCCUCAUUUAGCGAAACAUCUAGCAAGUCAGGCACUUUCAUGUCAUCAAACCUUUUAAACUGGUUUGCGGUUUUGCAAUCUGACAAAUGGCUUCUCACGCAUGUUGUAGCCCAUGUUUGGUUGUGUUGUGAAUUGGGUUUGAAUCCCUUCAAGCACUCACACUUAGGUGGAUUAUCAACAUUGCAAAUACUGUUAGCACCACAAUGCCCAUAAUUUUGACAAACAUCACCGGGGGCUGAGAACAUGACUUGCCAUCCAGAACUCCCCUCGUUCCAUAAUAGCCGCUGGAUCUUGCCUAAUGGGUUGAUUUUUAACAUCAUUAUGCUUAAAUUGUUGUAGGAUUCAUACCUGUAAUAAAUUUCAUCUUCCGUAUCUACCAAAAUUAUUUUGUAAAGAUAGUCUAUAAAUGUAGGACCAUCUUCAAAGAUAAAUCCAUUCCACGGUCCAAUACGGGCUAACUUCAGCGAUCCCUUGUAAAGAAAAAUUUGAGGUAACACAUGUAUGUCAAGUCUGUAAGUGAAUUUUCCUGGGGAUGGAUCAUCAGCGGUUCUCCACGACGUUAAAUAUCGUUCCCGACCAGUCUUUAAAUCCCAACCCACCUUCAUGCCCGGUAACAGAGUGUCUGAUGGGAAGUCAAAGCUCUGCCACAGAUAGCUACCUUCAGAAGUAUUAUUGCUAAAAUUUUCCCUUAGAACAAGGUUUCCGGUAUCUAACAGCUGUGCCACUGGACUUUUUGCUUCUUUAGACAUGUUCGAAGACCAGAUAGUGCCAUUUGCUUGGUUGAGAAGCACAAGGUUCCCAUUGUUGUUAAUAGCUAAAAUUCCAUGUGGAUCAAGAAUUGGGCAAUUUCUAUUAGCGACCCAAACAACUGUGUCAGGGCUCUUCUUAUACCAUACUCCCAAGUACCUGUUCUUUGAAUUACCAGGAGAGAAGAAGCCUAGUUCAAACCUUUGAGAUGGUGAAACCAACUUCUCACCAUCACGGAUGAAUGUUGCUGGAGUUAUUGAGUCUGCUGCUAACGAAAACUGCAAGGCCAACAAAGAGGUCAAAUAACUGAUGAUGUAGAAGCUAGAAAGGUUCUCCAUUCUCAAAACUGGAUGAAAAAUAUCAAAGUGUUUUGAGAUUGAUUGAAAUAGAAUUAAUAUUCAUCUUCUAAAAUAUCAGUCCUAACGGGGUGUUGAACAAGUCUAUUGAAUUGACCUCCUGGUGUUGAAUUUUGAAGUCUUGCAGACUCUUCAAAACUUUAGUAAAAUAGUUAAAAAUUAUUCACUUGUUGAAAAAGGAGUUAUUUUAAUUACUUCAGGACUUCCUGCGUGGUAUCCUUCCAUUUCUCAAGGCUAAUGGUUUGUGGUUCCAAAAUCAUAACUCGACUUGACUUUAUCGCUAGAUAUUUCAAACUUACGUAAGAAAUGAGAAAUUUCUUUGAUGAGAAAUUAUUCUCUUAAACUAAAUUUUGAUAGCGAUUUAUAGCAAUAUCCAAUGGUCGAAAAUCCUAACUUAUAAUCAUCAGUGUUACAGAUAAACUUCACUGCUGAUCAUACAACAGUAAAAUAAUAAAUAUUUACAAUGUUAAAUUAUUUUGAAUAUUAAAAAAAUAAAACUUAACUUAUAAUAAUCAGUGUAAGCAACGUCAGUUACUCAGUUGUUAACAACACUACUAAUAAAAUGGUUAGUUCAAGCUAUCAGAUUCACCACUUGCAAGAUUAGAUUUAGCUGAAGCAUCACGUCCAAAGAUUGUAUAAAGAGUGAUGUAGUACACAUUCAUUUGUUGUCUACAAGAAAAGAAAUUCAGCUCCGUUUCUCAGCUUUAAAAAAAAAAAAAAAAACACUGUGAUUCUAAGCAAUGUAUCAAACAUUUGAUUUUUUUUCCUAACUAAAGCACAUAAAGCAGGGUUCAAAUAGCUAUCGAGCUUGAUCUCUGGAUGGAUUAAGCAAUUCAUUGAAGAAGCUUCAGCCUGCAUAUUUGUGGGUAGAACUGAAUAUUUCAUAACUCUCACAUAUAAAAAAAGCAGGCUGUUUGGGAGAAAGUAAGUUGGCAACCUCAUUUGAAUGCAUUGAGACAAGUUCUGACAUGGCUGGUCUAUCUGUUGCAUUCUCUCCAACAGAGAGAAGGACCAUGUUCAUGUAUCUCUUCAGUAUUGGAUAAGAUGCUUCAUUUUCCAAUAUAGGACCCUUCAGUUCCCAGGCUCUACCAUCACUCCACAGAUUCCAUACCUGAAGCAAAACAGAUCAUUCAAAUGCUGAAUGAAUAAGCCAGCUCUCGCACUGAUUCUACUGAUGUAGGAAGCUCUUUACUUUUCCACUUCAAUAAUCAAGCUUUUUGUUCUAUUAGGAUUUUUACUAGAUUAAAGAACAAAAAAGAAAGAAGAGAAAAAAGUGAGAAAUCUUGACACUUGCAUGGCCAAGGGUAAGUGCAUCGGUAUCAUAGAAGUGGGUAUUCUUCUUUUUACUCGGUGUUUCCAAUAGCAAUACUCCAAAGCUAAAAACAUCAUCUCAUUUUUUGACUCAUCUUGUCUUUGUCCCAACUUACUUAAAAGUAGAGAUGGCCAAUGGGCCGGAUGACACGUGGUACGACAGGUGUUCGUACAGCACAGUACGACAUGAGCACGUUUCAGCAGAGUACGCGGCACGGCACGCAUGUGGGUCGGGCCAGGCUUAGAAUUUUAGGUAUGCGGGCCUUAAAAACACAACAUAAUUAAAAAUGGGCUAAGCACGACGCGAUAAAAAAGCCUGCAAUAAGCACGUUUUAUUUUUUAAUAAAAGUAAACUUAAAAUUUUAUGAUUUUACAAAUAACUUGAAAUUAAAUUUUUUAAAUUCAUUUAAUUCUUAGUUUAAAAAAAUACUAUAAUUGAUUUAUAUUUAUAAUUUAUUAAAUAAAUAAUUGAUAUCAUGAUUUUAAUGAAUAAAAUUAUAAAUAUCGUGAUUUUAUAAAUAUGUAUUAAUAUUAUUGUGAACUAUGAUUUAUAACUCUAUGUAAGUUUAAGUUAACAAUUAAGUUAACCCUUAAGAAAUUUUUAUUAUUAUUAUUGUUGUUAAGUAUUAAAAAAAUUCUAAUACUAUAAGUUCAAAUUUAGUAAUUAAUAUUACAUUAAUAACUAUAAUCUUAUCAUAAUCUUAUCAUACAGGUUCUUGACAAACUCAUUACAUUCUCUAAUUAUACUGCAUAUAUAUUUAAAAAAAUUUCUUAUUAUUAAUUAAUAAAUUAAUAACUAUCAAUUUAUCAAUAUAUUAAUAUUUUUUAAAUUAAUAGACUUUUGGAACUUUACUGUAGAUCUCCAAAAUUUUACUGUAGAUGUCCAAAACACGUAUUUUUUGUGUUAUAAAUUUAAACAAUCAAGGAGAAUUUAAUUAGUUAAUUAAUCAAGUUUCUUCUUUAUUUAAAAUUUUAAAACUAGUAUUAAUUUUUAUAAGGAAAAUUAUCCACCGUCCACCCGUUUUUUUAACUUUUUCAAAAAUCCACAAUUUUUUUUUUUUGGAAUCCACCUGAAAUUACAUUUUUUUUACUUUUCCACUUUUAUUUGGAGACCGUUAAGAAAACUAACGGAAUAUUAUAUAAAUGACUUUUUUACCCUCAAAUGUAAAAGAUAAAUUAUCCAUCGACCACUUAUUUUUUUGUUUUUUUUUAAAUACACAAUUCUUAAUUUUUUUUCUAAACUCCACUUAAAAUUAUAUUUUUGUCACCUUUGCACCACUGUGUCAUUGUAAAAUAAUAAUUUUACCCUUAUGAUGUUAGUAAAAUUCUAACAGUGUUAUAACGAGGGUGAACCAAUGAAAAAAAUAUUAACUUCAGAUGGAGCGCUGCAAAAAAAAUUAUGCAUUUUUGAAAAAUAAUAAAAAAAUAAGUGAAAAAAAAUUAUAUAUUUAAAAAAACAGUAAAAAAAUAGUGAACAGUAAAUAAUUUUCUUUUUUAUAAUUAUUUUUCUAUUUUUCUAAAGGGAUGGGUGGAAAAUAUCACCACCCAAACAAUAAAACUGGGAGGGCUGGGAUAAAUGAUGAGUACGGAGGGCCAUAAUAGAUAAACUAACAUACUUUUUAGUAAAGCUAUGAUAUAAGAAUUUAGAAAUAAGAGGGUAAAUUUUUUUUUUCCUCUUUCUUUAAGAAAAGGUGCAUAGAAAUUAAUAUGCCCGCUGCCACACUACUAUCCGCAGGGGUAACGGUCGGUAUUGAACACUACAUAAAACUGUCUCUUCCACCAGAACCUCUUAUUAAGAUAAAAGAUUUUGGUCGUUCAAGUUAUGUUUAUUAAGCAGGUGAAACAAUAUUUACUGAAUCCUCGCAAGGCCCACCCCCAGCUGUUCUAUAAAUUACUAUUUUUCAAUGUUAGUCUUUACAUAUUAUCAUUUGUAAUGGAGCUCCCUAAACAGGAGAUUAAUUAAUUUUCAUUGCCAUGAUAGUGUGGUAUAAUUGGACAAGCUCAGGUGAUAAAUGUAGAAACCAGAGUAAAACAAAGUACACUAUAAGAAAUUAACAAAGAUAACACUCUUUUCUUAAUAAAGCGACUUCGAUUCCACACUGCAGCCUAUUAAGUCUACAUAAUUACACACUACUCAUCACCUACAGGCAAAUUAAAGACACACGACGACGUGAUUUAUUAUACUCUAAAGCUAGUCACUCUUUAACAGUGAACUUAAUUUUAUUACUAACUUGCAUGCAUAUAUCAUGCACUCCCACCCACCCCCCCGCCCCACCCCGGGGGCACCACCAGAGCACACACGCUAGCCAUUAUUAUUAGAAACACGUAUCUAGAAGUAAGGUGAACUGAAGUCACAGCCCUGCCUUGGAGAAAUGUUGCACUUGCGAGGAAUUUGACUGGCCGACUCAUAAGCUUGUCGCAACAUCCCGCCCUGUAUCUGUCCUUGCUGCAGCUGGCUUCUCAACGCUUGCUCUAGCCCCGGGCAGCGGCAUCUGUUGUCCAGCUGCUGCAGUUGUUGGCAGCAUUGUCGAAGAUACUGCUGUUGUUGAUUGUCGCCAAGGCUGCUGCCCCACAGGCCGUCCUCCCCUUCCUGCUGCCGGUCGCGGACCUGCUGCCUCAAGUGCAUCUGGCACUGGCGGAGUUGCUGCUGCUGCUGUAUCUGCUGCUCGCAGCUCUGCUGGGAGGGGUUUUCUUCGUCGAUGAAAAUGGUGGUGCGGUAGAUCGAGGAGUUGGCAACGAGGAGGAAGAGAGCGAAAGUAGAUAGAAGGAGAAUGAGCUUAUUUGCCAUUGCCGCUUGUUAGGGCUUUCUAGGUCGAUGGUGAGAGUUCGGGGUGGUGGUGAAGGGAUCUUUAUAGCAAAAUGAAGGUGUAUGCAUGGCGGAUACGUGUUAGAUGGAGUGGUAAUCAGGGCAGGUGUUUGAUGGUUGCAACUCAUUGUCACACGUAGAUGUUUCAUGCAAUUUGCUGGCAAUUGAGGUUUUUGUUUGUGCAUGCAUGCAAAAUUAAACUGCCUGCCUUGGGAUUUUAAAAUUUUGGUAACUGCAGGAAAUUGCUUGGGAACUCUUAUACAGCUUUGUUCUUUAUGCAACAGAAUCAAAAUCUUCAAAUAGAUCCAAUACUGUAUAUUGUCAAGAGUGAAACAUGAGAGUAAUAACAAUUUAUUCAUAAGUAUAAAUUUCCAAUGUAUUUAAUUUGUUUCUAUUUAACUCUUUUAGAUUUCUUUUCCGAGCAAAAAAGAAUCUAGAUUUGAUUUAUUUAUGUAACAUACUUUUACCUAAUUUCUAUACACAAAUUUAUUAUUUUCCUUGAUGAUAUGGAUUAGGAGAAAAAUUUAUUAAAUGAAAAACAAAAUGAUGUCUAGUCAGAAGACGUAAUGAGACUUUAUCAUUCAAGACAUAUAUUCUUUUUUAAGUUAAAAUCUCCAGGAAGAAAUCAAUUUAUAAUUAUAUGCUUUGCAAAAACUUAAAACUAAAUGUAGAAAAAAUUAAUAGAAACUAUUGGCAUCCUUAGACAAACUAGACAUGUUAGAUGAUGUUGUUGUGAAUAUGGGAUGGGUAAUUCCAAAUACCAUAUUCCCUAUGAAAAAGUAAAUAAAAACGUCAAAAUGAAAAUACCAUAUUCCCUGUGAAAAAAGUAAAUGGUCAUUCAUUUUGUUACAAAAGCAUGUGUGUGUACACACUAAUUGGGCCGGCCAAUUAUUGCUAUAGAUAACAUAAUAUAAAAAUGUCAUAUUUUUACUAAGAGAAAUGUUGAUUCCUUAUUUUAAUAAAAUAUUAUUUUAUGAGGCUAAAAUAGUUUGUUAGAAAAUAAAAAUGAAUUUACCUUUUUAACAUAUUCAUGACUUUUGUUAAACAUACAUGAAAUCAAUUUGUGUGUCGGAAAAUGAAAAUGGAAACAAGCUGUGAAGUAAAACACCACCUUGGGCCUGAUCGGGCCAGUGCACAAUUUUGAUACCUGGAUUUGGAACACGUGAGAACCGAGAGCGUUACGUUUCAGGAAAUUCAAGCUAAAAAAGCCCGUAGAAGAUCUCAGAAGAAGAAAAGUCACAACGUUUUUCACGAGGAAACGUACCAAGUACCAAUAAAAAAAAAAACUUACAUUGACAAUUCUACCCUUCAUCUCAGUAUUCUCACCCACUCCCCCUCCUCACUACGAAAACACACUCGCUUCAAGUUUCACCGCCACGUGAUCUUUCUGUUCUUCGCUAAUUUACUCCCAAAAAUGCGCGUAUAUGUAACGCUCCUUCUCGAGCGUAGUAACCAACCUAAGCCUGAAAAACGAACUUUGUUUGUAAUUUACAUAUUUGCUUCCUUUUUCUGGAUAUUUCUCCCUAACUCUCUGUCACCAAGAACGAGCUUCAGACUUAUACGAAUCCGAUUUAGGGUUUCUUUUUGAUCUUAUCAGAUCGGACUAUCUCGAUUAUUAAACCCUAAUCUUCGGAUCAGGUAAUCCCAAUAUCCAAUUCUGUACGAUUUCAUUCUGUUCGUUGAAUUUUUAUUUUUUAAAUUAUUUUUUUGUUUUUGUGUUAUUACUUGAAAUUAUUGCUUAUGUGUUGUAUGAGUCUAAUAGAUCUCUUCCUUAUGUGAUAUUGGUGAUUGUUUUAUUGGGUUAAUUCAAAAAUCAAAUCUUUCUGGGUUUUGUAAUUUGAGCUCAUUUUUUCCUUUUAUUUUUUAUUUGGGUAGUUGAUUUUAUUUUAUUUAUUUUUUUUUUUGGGCCUAGUCUUGAUCUGCCUUUUGAAAUUUUAUUGGUGUUGCCAUUUGGGGAUGCCGAAAUUUUACUGAGAGGUUUGGGAUCUGGUUGUUUAGCGUAGAAGGCAAUUGUCAAUUGGAUGGAAUUAAUUGUGAUUCUAGCUCUUGUGUUGAAUCAAUUGAAUUCGUUUUUAUUCGAGCAGUUUCUGAUUUGAUUUUGUCUUUGUUGUGAUCCAGGUCUGAGCAUUCCGGUUGUUGGGCCCCUUGCAUCAGCUGAGGUUCAUGUCUGAUUUUGAUAUCCAGGUUCCUGCUGCCUUUGGUAAGUCCGCUUAAAUCUAUGACAUAUUUAAUUUUUAGUCUGCACAAUUCUUGGCUCUUUGCAUGAGAAUUGGGAGGGAAAGCGUCUUUUCAAGCACAAACUCGAAUGUUUGUUAAAAAUCAUGUUCUGAGUUAGUGGGUGUGAAACAACAGAGGUGUAGGAUCGGACUUGGUGGCAGACAAGAUUAUAGUAGAAUUGGAGUAGGACCCACCAAGUAACUUGUGAAAACAUUUUGAGUUGAGUAACUUCAUCCACCAUAUGAAAGGUUUAUGGAAUUUUGGCAGGUUUAUGAAGCGUCAUUGAAUGUGCAAAAUAAUUAAUUAAAAGUUGAAAAACAUAAAGGCCGUAAAGAUAUGUUGAUAUAGGUUGUAAACGUAUGGCAAUGUAUGUCUUUUAUGUAUUUUCGCGUGAUACCAGAUAUAGAGGCUAUUGGCUCAGGCCUAUUGGCCAAUGACAGGCAUGCUUCUCCUAGCUGACUUCUAGUAUGCAGUGGUAGCAAGUUGCUGCUCUUAAGCGGCUUUCCAUUUGAGGUUCAGUUUUGAACUUAUUGGUGAAAGGUUAUGUGGUUAAAAGUGUUAGUUCUAAUGCCUUUUUGCCUGUUCUUGAGUUGUGGAAUUUAUAUAUGGCAAUGGCCAUGAUUUUUCAUUUCUUACUUAAAUCACAUGCUGCCUUUAAAAUCUUGUGGUUGUAAAUCAAACUAUAAGGACCCUUAAUUUUAGCCAAUUUGCGUUACAGUUCGAAGCAUACCUAUAUGCAAAGAUGGAAAUCAAAAUAUAGGUGCCUUUGCUUCUAAUUUAUAGUUGGUGAGGUAUUCAGUUGUUGACUUCUCAUAUCAUAGUGGAUAUUUGUUGCAUUUGGUUCUUAUUUAGCUUAUGGUCGUUGAAAUGACCAAUAACACUUUACCCUUUUUAGUUGUUCUCCUUGUUGAUGAUGAUUUUACCUAUAAAUUCCUCAUUCCUUUGUUCAUAAAAAUCUAACCUUCUGUUCCUUUGUGGGUGGUAGACCCGUUUGCUGAUGCAAAGGCUGAGGACUCAGGUGCUGGUUCAAAAGAGUAUGUGCAUAUCCGUGUUCAGCAACGGAAUGGUAGGAAAAGCCUGACAACUGUCCAGGGGUUGAAGAAAGAAUUUAGUUACAACAAAAUCCUCAAGGACCUCAAAAAGGAAUUUUGCUGCAAUGGAACAGUGGUCCAGGAUCCUGAACUAGGACAGGUGCACUUUUGAUCUCUAGCUUAAGCGAUUAAUUAUUAUCAUUAUUUGUUUUAUUUUAUUUAUUUUUAUUUGAUUUCUUAUCCUUCUGUUUGUAUAUAGGUCAUUCAACUCCAAGGUGACCAGCGGAAGAAUGUAUCUACGUUCCUUGUUCAGGUAAUAUUCUUUUCUCAGUCUACCAUUAUUUAUAUUCUCAAGGCAAUAGGCAAGAGCCAAUUCCUAAAGGUUAUGGUACGAAAUCAAGUUCCUGAUUUUUUUUUAUUUAUUUAUUGGGGCAACAGGCUGGGAUUGUGAAGAAGGAACAUAUCAAAAUGCAUGGCUUUUAAGUAAACAGCAACUUCCGUUUCUGCACAUUUGGUGACCCGCGUUCGUCAGUGCAGUGCAGAACAUGCUAUUGAUACUAUUAAAAAAAAAAAAAAUUGUAUGUGGUGGUGCUGUUAUAUCAUCUCCUGUGUUGGUUUAGUAUUGUUUUAUCUGUUUUUGUGCCACUGAUGUUUCCUAGUUCUCGGUUUUAUGUAAUGUGGGAUGAUUAUGGUUAUGUGAUGCAGUAUAGUUUGCUCGUAUGUUGUAAGUACAAAUUAUUAUCCAAAGUUAUCAUCUAAUUUUAAUGGGUACUAGAAGGAAUAAUUUGCUGAGAGUUGGGAUGUGCUUAAUAGAAAGCUAUGGAUGUUCUGUGAGUAACUGUUCGGGUUGUGGUACAAGUUUUGAGAUGUUUUCGCUGUGGCAGCUGAUCCUAGACUUCAAAAAAAUUUUUUUCCCCUCGCAAGUGGUAAUUUGUUUUUUAAGAGUAAUUGAAAGUAAAAUAACCAUCGCAGAUAUUUAAAUGUGUGGAGUAAAUUCAACGUGCAUCUAAAUUUUUGGUUACACUUUUAAGUGGACAGAAAGAAAGGUUGAGUCGUUGAGAGACGAGGCAGAGAGGCUUCUGGAACGGAAAAUGUUUUUAUUAAUUUUUCUGAUGCAACUGGUUCACUUGCAGUAGUUUUUGAGAGCGCGCUGGGUCAAUUACAAUGUUGUGAUGGGAGAUGCAAUUUCUUGAAAAUGGGUCAUCAAUAGCUUUUCAUAUUCUAUUUGUUAGGGCUUUGAAUUCAUUCAAAGGGCACAGAUUUCUUAGUUCUUCUCAUAAUAAGUACAUGAUGUCGAUUGUUUGGGUCGCCAGUUGUAUGCAUCAAAAAAAAAAAAAUAAAAAAAAAAAAUUUCUUAUUCAACAAAGGAUUUUAUGUGGAGGUGAUGAUUAUGAUGUCUUAUAAUAAUAUUAAGGAAGUUAUCAGGACAUUAGCUGUGAAAAAGAACCAUCGCAAGUUUUCUCUUAUCUUUUUUCCAUUAGAAAUAUUAUGUCAUACGUAAUUUCUAUUGAAAUCUAGCUUGCAAACACUAAACAUUUUAGGACAUUGGUUGAGCCCCAUUUUCAUCACCACCGUCGCUCACCAAUUUCGCCCACAUUUCUUAAUCAUUCAUCCAUAGACAAAUCAAACACAAUUACUUAUGCUCAAGUUGAUAUAUACAUAGGACAUGUGGGAUUCCUUUUUUAUAACACUUAGCAUGUUGAUCUUGGAAUAGUUCCUUUUUCCUUUUUUUUUAAUUAAUAAUUAGAGAGAUGUGUACUUCGAUUAAUAAUUUUAGAAGAAAAUUUACUAUUUGGUGGUUCUAUAAGGGGAUACAAAUUAGCCUUAAUUUUGUUGACGUUGAAUGUUUUUUAUUAGUGAAAAAUAAAAUGAGUUAUCCAAAAAAUAUUGAUGUACCGUACAUAUAUUUAUUAGUGAAAAAUAAUAAGAAUUACUCAAUAAAUACUGAUUUGCCCGUACAUAUAUUUAUUGAACGUGGUUGCUAGCUUGCUCUCGUAAUUUUUAAAAUUAAUUAGUGCAUAUAUUAUAUGAUAUUAUUGAGACUUUUAUAUGGAUCUGGUACCUGAUGUAUCAAAAAAUUUCUGUUAUUUGAGUUUAAAUAGUAAUGUUUUCCAAAAUCAAUCAAAGAAAUAUGUGUUUUUUUUUUUUCCAUUUCUUCUUAAUUAAUGAAAAAUGUACCUAAAAUAUGUAAUUUAUUUAUUUUUCUUAAUGUUUGCUGAUAAUUUGCCUACCCAACAAUAAAUUCACCUGUCCCGUCAAAAGAUAUCUCACGGAAUCACUACACGACAAAAUCUUCAGUCCAAGAUCACAAAACUCAAAAUCAUCACAAAAGCCUAAGUAGCCAAAUAUUAUCACAACGACAAGAUGACAGCGAGUGACAAUUGCAGGACUCCGCAAUUGGACGGUAGAGUCCAGUUUACGCUUUACCAGAACUGGCACGCACUUGCACGAAAACCAGAGAAAGCUUUGGGUAAUUGACACGUGAAUCCGUUUCUUUUGUGAAAUUACAAGAAAGAUUAGUUGUUUUCGUUCAUAUCCAACCAAGUCUUCCUUAUUGUGACCCGGUUCGUGCGCUUUGUUCCGAUUUUGGAUUCAAAUCUGUAUGAUAAACUGCAGGGAAAUCCACCAAAUCAACUGAAUCAUCAACGGCAAGCAAAAUCUUGGCCUAAACAAAACACUCCGUCGGGGCAUCAAAUUAUCUAAAAAGGGUUAAAGAUCGUAUGUUUCAAUUAAGGAUUGAUUUAGUUUUUUAUUAAAUGAACUAUUUUGCCGGAGUAUGCUUCAUAUGAUCAAGCCAUUUAGUUCCGUUCAUAUCUUUAGAUUAAGAAUGGAGAAUAUGUAUUAUUUUUAUUUCAACCAAUCUUUAGUAUUGUGAACUUUUGUAAAACAAUUUGUAUAAAUUGUUGUUUGAUUGUUAAUGAAAAUAUCAACCAAUACUUCCCAAUAUCAUAUAAGUAACAAUUUAUAAUAGGGGUUGAAUAGUCUCCCUACAUUAGGGUAGAAUUUAUUUUUCUCCGGUAUUAAUAAUGAGGGCAUACCUCCUUUCAGCUUUAAGUGAAUGGUUGAUAUUCAGACUGUACCACAAUAGGAUUAUUCAGGAGAGUCCUGACUGACUUCUUAUUGUAAAUAUCAGUAGAGCUCUAAUUGUAAUAUAUUAUAUAUCAGUGUAUUAAAAAAAAAUAAAUCAAAAAAAUUAUUCAUAAUAUAUUAAUGAUGGUUUGUUUUAUUACUUUAAUGAAAUAACGUUAGAUUGAAUCUAAUUUAUUGUGUUUGUAAUUAAAUAAGUAAAUUAAGUCUAAUUUACUAUUAUUUUUAUCAGUAUUUUAUUUUAAUUUUUUUAACCAAAUAUACUCCGUCCUUUUAUCUAAAAUAUCAUUUUUCUAACACAAGUUUGAAAAUCUGAAACCUCAUUGCUAAUUUUGAUAUUUUACUAAACAACAGGGAUUGCUGCCUCAAUUAACCAAAAGCUUUGCAGUUCGAACGUGCAAAAUUUUUGUCCUCUCUACCUAGUUUCUAGACCCUUCAAACCCUAUCCUCUUUCCACGUGUCCCCAGAUAUUUUCCUUCACCGCCGCUUUUCUCCUCUCUAUAUAAUAAUAAAAUCCCACUACCACCCUCCUUGACUCACCAGUCAUCAUCACUGCUGCAAAUCAAAUUACUUCUCAUUAUCAAACUUCUAAGCAGCAGGGGAAGGAGGGGUUAAAAAAAAAAAACAUGGCAGCCAUGACUUCUACAGCUUUCGCUCCUUCAGUUUCGUCCACCACCAAUAAGCUCUUUGACUCAUCCUUUCAUGGGGCUCCCAUGUCACCUUCUCUUCUACGUCUUCAACCCAUCAAAUCUUCUCGUCCCAACAACUUGUCCAUUUCUGCUUCUGCUUCUCCUCCUUAUGACUUGAACACUUUCAAGUUUGACCCCAUCAAAGAAUCCAUUGUUUCUCGUGAAAUGACACGCAGGUAUAUACAAGCACGCAAGCAAGCGCACACACACUAAUCACUAGGGCUAGGUUUUGUUCAAAAGUGAUUUUGUAGAAACACUUAAAUUUAAAAGCACUUAUGUGUCUGUAGGUACAUGACGGACAUGAUCACUUAUGCUGACACUGAUGUGGUAGUGGUUGGUGCUGGCUCUGCUGGCCUCUCUUGUGCUUAUGAGCUCAGCAAAAACCCCAACAUUCAGAUUGCUAUUAUCGAACAGUCUGUUAGCCCCGGCGGUGGCGCGUGGCUCGGUGGACAGCUCUUCUCUGCCAUGGUAUAAUAAAUUGCAAUUUUUCUUUGUUAUCAAUCAUAAUGCUUGUUGUUAACAAUAAACGUUAAUUUUUUUAUUUGGUAUGUUUUGUCAAAUAAUCAUAAAUAUUUAUUUAAUAUCAUAAUUUUUUAAAAUUUUUUAGUUGUUGUUUGUUUAUUUUUUAAAUAAUAUUUUUAAGAUUAAUUAAAUUUUUUCUUUUUAUUAGUAAAAAUUUAAAUUUUGAGUUUUUGUUCUGGAGGUUAAAAUAUUUUUAAAAAAUGUUAUAUAUUUAAAUUUUUUUAUUUAUUUCAUAAUUUUAUUUUAUUUCUUUUCGUAACAUGAUUGUAAAAAAUUUAUUUAUUAAAAUAAAGUUAUAAUUUUUAAUAAAAAUUAUUUUUAUUAACAAUCAAAUAAUUAAAUUUUUUUAAUAAAAACUUAGAAAAAUUCUACUACCAAAAAUUUUAUUUAAGUAAGCUUUAUAGUUCUGUAUAUGGCUUAUGAUAAUAAUUAAUUAUAUGCUAAAAGCUCUGUUAAAGAUAUCUCCAAAAAGCUCUGUUAAGGACAUCAGUUCGUGUCAAAAAGAGACUUGCUGGAGGGUGGUGGGUCUGAUGGUCCCUCUUGUCAUUAUUAAGGAAAUAAUUAAGUUUAUUUUUAUUUAUCUAAUUAUUGGAAAUUCCGAUUUGGAAUCGAGUUAUUUCUUCACUUUAAUAUUGAGAUGAGUGAAAUGGGACAAUAUCUUGGUUAAAUGAGGAGUUUUGUAAUUUGGGUCACCUGUAAAGCAUUAGUAUCAUAUUUGGACUCUUAAUAUUCUAUUUAUGUCUCAUACAAAUCAAACCUUUAUGAUUUGAUUUUAUCACUUCAUUAGAAUUGCUGCCACACAACAGAGUAUCCGAGAUUUCGUACAAAACAAUUUAGGUCUAAAUUGGAGUUAAUUGAAUUGCCUGUAAUUUGAACAGGUUGUGCGCAAACCAGCCCACAUCUUCCUUGACGAGCUUGGCAUCGACUACGAUGAGCAAGACAACUAUGUUGUGAUCAAGCAUGCAGCGCUGUUCACCUCCACUAUAAUGAGCAAGCUCCUGGCCCGCCCCAACGUCAAGCUCUUUAAUGCAGUGGCAGCCGAGGACUUGAUAGUCAAAGGCGGCAGAGUUGGUGGUGUGGUGACCAACUGGGCGUUGGUGUCAAUGAAUCACGAUACACAGUCUUGCAUGGAUCCCAAUGUAAUGGAAGCGAAGGUGGUUGUGAGCUCUUGUGGCCAUGAUGGGCCUUUUGGUGCCACUGGAGUAAAGAGGUUGAAGAGUAUCGGAAUGAUUGAGGAAGUGCCUGGAAUGAAGGCACUGGACAUGAACUCUGCAGAAGAUGCUAUUGUGAGGCUGACCAGGGAGGUUGUGCCUGGUAUGAUAGUUACCGGCAUGGAAGUUGCCGAGAUUGAUGGUGCUCCUAGAAUGGUACAUAUGCUUACGACUCUGUUUCUUAGCAGCCUUAGAUUAAGAAAGUUGCUGCUCUUCAAUCUCAAAACGGUUUCUUGAUAUAGUGUUUGAUAAUGUGUGCAAAUAAGUAACAAACGUAAUAAUCUGAAUGCAGGGG
rnacentral:lncRNA from 1 species